rnacentral:tRNA from 1 species
GAGGGUAGAGCUCAGUGGUAGAGCACAUGCUUAGCACGUAUGAGGUCCUCGGUCCAAGCUCCAGUAAUUUCA